rnacentral:lncRNA from 1 species
GGAGGAAGGCAGGAGAUGGAGAUGAAGAUAGAAAGAUGGGCAGGGACCAAAUCACGCAAGCCCUGGAGAGCCACGGGUCAAAGACUGGGUGUUAUGGAGUUCGUGCUACUAAAAGUGUUCAAAGAGCUUUAAGCAAGAGAGUAAAAUGAUCUGAUUUAGGCUUUAAAAAUAUAAUCCUGGCUGCUCUGUAGAGGAUAAAUUGGAGGAAGGCAAGAAAGGAUGUUGGAGACCAGUUUGGAGGCUCUUGUACUUCAGGCGAAACUGAUGGAGGAUUGGAUAGUAAUGGUAAGUAAAAACACAGAUGGAAAAGAUGAGAAGAUUUGAAAUGUAGUCUGCUUAUCACAAUCUUAACUGAAGUUCAACUCAUCCAAUCCAGGUAUCUAACAUAUACCUAAAUAUACCUAACAGUUCUUAAAAUAUGGCCCCCAGGCAGGCAGCCUUGGCAUCACCUGGGAACUGUUCAGAAAUGCCAAUCUCAGGCUCCACUCCACACAAUGAUUCAGAAAUUCUGGGGAUGGAUCCCAGAAAUCUAUGUUUUAACAAGCCCUCCAAGUGAUUCUAAUAUGUACUAAAGUUUGAGAGACACUGACCCAGAGGAAUUAAUUAACUUGGGACUUUCUGAAUACAACAAACAUGCAUGAAGAGUUACUAGGCCAAUAGUAUGUAAUUAAAAUACACUUGCUCUAUUGUUAAUAAAGCCUGGAAUAAUACAACAGACUUCAAAUAUUAUUAUAGUGCUCUGCAAUCAAAUUCUAGUUUCUACAUUCUAGGAACUUAAAUGAAAACUUAGCCAUUAAGGUCAAGAGAAUCCUCUUCUGGGCCUGCUGGAACAUUUUUUGUCUUUACAUAGUCCCAGUUAGGCUUCUACUCUUGUGUUUUCCACGAUGUUUUGUAUAAGGAUGGUUGCAUCUUUGUAUCUGGUCUCAGGCUUUAAUGUCUGCUUAUAAAUUUGUUGAAAUAUGUCAUCUUUAUUAUUUGGAUUCCAUGGAGAUUCCUCCUUCCAAUAUACUCGGAGAAAUAUUGGUUGUCUGCUUUUUUAAUCAUGGGAAUAAUCUUUUUGGUUUGCUUUGCUCCUCUCUGUCUCUUCCUAGAAAGAGAGAGAAGUUUGAUUUAUUGCACUUAGUAGAAAAAGUCACUACCUGAUGGUAUAAAUUGAAAGUAGCUGUCUCCUGCAUGCAGUACCGUGGCACUUCCUUUGCCAUGCCAUUAAACAUGCCCCUUGGAAGCACUGGUUUAAAGACAUCACUAUGAUUGCAUUUCACAGCAUUGUUGGGUAUGCUACUUUGUAGUGAUUAGUAUAGAUUAUUGAUAAUUACAUAUUUAUAGUCUUAUUCAAAGAGUAGUCAUUUGAAUUUGGACCUGAGAAAGAAAAAGACAUUGUCCUGUCUAGAAGCCAGGAGUCAGGAUAAAGUGAUCAUGUUCCCAGAGUGUGGACACCAUGGGGAAAAAUAUAAACAGAAAGAUUUCCCAGUAAGAAACUCAGGUCUAGAAUAGUGUCUGAAACACUAGUGGAUCCUGGAAAAUUUAAUUGUUCAUUCAGCUUUAACAAGGAAUGAAGUUCUGAUACAGGCUACAACACGGAUAUACCUUGGAAACAUCAUGCCAAGUGAAAUAAGCCAGUUACAAAGAGAUAAAUAUUGUAUGAUUCCACUAAUAUGAGGUAUCCAGAGUGGGCAAAGUCAUAGAGACAGAAAGCAGCAUAAAGGUUACUAGGGUCUUGGAGGAGAGGGAAAUGGGGAGUUAUUGUUUAAUGGGUUCUGAGUUUCCAUUUGGAAAGAUGAAACAGUUCUAGAACUGGAUAAUGGUGAAGGUUGCACAACAUUUUGAGUGCUCUUAAUGCCAUAGAACUGUACACUUUAAAAUGGUUAAAAUGUUAUGCAUGUUUUGUCACAAUAAAAAAAAUAAAAUUGUUUAAAGGCGGCACUGAAUAAAUACUUGUUUACUGAUAUCUCCACAGGGCUAUUAAAAUGAUGAAACGAUAAUAUUAAAUGACUGCACAUACUCAUUGUCAUAUUCUUGCAUAUUCUGAGAUUAUUAUACUUACCCUGUUCAUUGUCAGAAAACCUCAGAGUUGAACAUAAGACAUCUGUAUUUAGAAAGCAGGCUUUGUUAGCAAUAGAGUUAUACAAAUGUGACCACAAAUAUUACUCAUUAGGUCUUACAGCUCCUAGACCACAUGCCUUCAUCCUUGGUCUAUCAAAUAUUCUAGACAUCAGUGACUAAAUACAUAUAUUUUACAAAUUUACUUUAGACCGUAUGUUCAUCUUAAUCCAUCAAGGAAAUAAAAAUUGUACCAUGAAUCCCUUCACUUUCUUUUUUUACACUAAACCCAAGAAGUCAGUAAAAUGUAAAAGCUAAGCAGUUUCUAAUUUCGGUUUACACAUUUUCUGUAAACUGCAAAAAUCCACCAGAGGAGGAUUUUUAUGUGUAAUAAAAAACCUGCAUAGCUUUCUCAGAAGGGGGUUUCAUACCAUACGAUCCCUCACCAAUCUAGAAAGAAAAUGCAAUUCCUGAUCUGUAACUGCUAGCACACCCACCUGUCCCUUCUUCCCUAAUGAGAUGAAAUUAUAACGGGGAGAGCAAUUUGCAAAUAUCCUCCCCUUGGCUGAUUUAUGCUUCUACAUUGUGUGUCAAAUCCUUUCUGAAUCCUUUUUGUUGCAUAUAUGAGAAGACAUUUAGAAAAAGAUUUUGGAAUGCCUUUAAUCUUCUAAAUCAACAAUAAAGAAAAAAAUGAAAUAAAGGUCAAGGUUUUGAUAUACUGCUUCUAAAGUACAUCCCACACUGAGUAAAACACCAUGAAAUCAUCUGUCAGAACUGACUUUCUUCCAGAGACUACAUUCCAAGAGCGUGAAGAGAGCAAAGUGGCUAUUGGAUGGUUUCCUUAGAUUCCAAUGCACCUUAAUCAUAUUCACAAGACUGUACGUUUUCAUCACUGCAGGAGCUGGCAGAAUUUUGUGACAAUUCUGGGAAAUGCUUUCAGAUGGCCCCUUCUAUGAAUUAUGAAUGUUUCACAAAGCUCUAUGGUAAAUGGAAUAGCCUUGUUCUCCACAAAUGCAGGGGUGGAUUAAGAGGUGGCCUUCCUUUGUUUCUUUGCCUUGAAAUUUAAUAUUGUUUGCAAACAGAGAAAUUAAAUCUCGAUGAAGGUAAGUAGGCUUUAAUUAGUUGUAAACAAUUAUUUUGUCUUAUGAAGAAUUACAUUUGUUUAUUGUAUUCAUUAGAGAUUGUAUAAAUACCACCAUUUUCUUUCCAGACUGUGCUUAAUGUGAUAUGAAUAGAUUUACAAAUGACUGCUUUUAAAAAACAAAACAAAAAAAACAACUCAGUUCUCAUUAUUCAUUCUUGUUGUUUUCUAUAAAGUCACCACAAAUGCUGAAUAAGCAAAUACUAAACCAUUGCUCCUAGGGGAAGUACAGUGUUAGGUUCCUGCAAGCCUCUAGUCACACUUUUGUGAACCUUGUUUCAUGUGUCUCUGUUUAAAUACAUCUUAUUUAAUAUAUAGUGUUGACUCAUUAACAUUGAACUCAGCCACCAGCACCAUGACUCAUGCCUGAAUGAAAUUUAUUUAACACAUGUAUUUUCUCUGUAAGGCACAUUACAGUCUUCUUCCACUGAGGAACAAUAGACAACACUUCUGCACUACACUUGGGGACAAUUUUAAACACUGAAAUCACCGACAAGUAAGCACAAAUGUGAAAAAAUGGCACUCAAUAGACUGAGAAAAGGACUCUUGUUUACAAUAUAAAAGAUAAACAAGAAGACAGAGCAUUGCCUUGCUUGACCUCAGCUGGGAACAUGUGCUUCAGAUGACUCAAAUUCUUCCUGCUCUGCACAUGUCCUUGAAUGGCCAUGAAAGCACUAAUAGUGUUGAUCUUGGGGUUAUGAAUAAAUUUUAGCAAGUAGGAAAACUUACAAAUACCAAUUUCUCAAAUAAUGGGAAUCAACUAUAUACAUAGUCAUCUGAGACAUCUCUCUGCUCGAGACCAUUUUUCACCUCAAAAUAGUGGCCAGUUGUUAGGACAGAGUCAGGAAAGCCUGCUCAGUUACUGUGAGAUCUCUGUUCCACUGUAGUCUUCAUUCUAUUUCUGCAGACUCCAAACAGUCUUAUAAUAAAAGUUACCUUCCUCAUUUCCCUUUGUUUUAUAGGUUCCCAUGGGUGAAUUUGGUGUUACAGCAAGAUUUGAAACUGUCUGACCUGAUAGGGGUGAAAAGAAUCUGGCUGGACUGUCCACCUCUCACUGUGGGGGCAGCUCCUGGCUUAGAAGUUCUAGACCAGGUCCAAAGGCUGUUGACAGAGAACCCACAUCUUAUCACAGGAGAUUCCAAGGAGUCACACAGAUGGCCCCACGGAGGGUCAAGCUGGAAGAGGAAAGGGAAGGUGAAAUAUGAGAGAAGCUGAAAGGAUAUACAGCAGGAAGACAAGCUUUCAAGGAGCUUCAGUGUGUGCAUCUGCAUUUAGACCACAAACAGCAACAGUGCUGGAAUUUCCACUCUCUGAGGUGUUAGGUAUGACAGUCCCAUGGUAGGGAAAGUUAUUUAGAAAGAAUCAUGCAAAAUUGAAGAGAAUGUUUAGAAUGUUUAUUUAAUAAGCAUCAAGUUUUGCUCAAGCUUAAUAGAUUCUCAACUGUGUGACUUUAGGAAAUACAAUCUGUACAGUGUUUCUGAAGUAACCACUUACCAGACAAUAAAACAAAUCAUACAGCUAAAAUAAACAUCUCAAAAUUAUCUGCCCAGCCCUCAGCUUCCCAACCACUCUGCACAGAUAUGUGUCUAUUUUAUACCUAAAUAUUACCCAAAGUGGAAACUUUUAACUAUCCACCUAUACCUCAUUUCUGUGUUUUAUCACAGUAAGUCCCAAUUCCAUGAAUUUGCUUUUGCCAUUUUUAUGACACAUCAAUGGCUGUCCAAAAGACUCCAGAAAUUAUUCAACUUCCAGUAGGUCACUGAGAAAGGCCAAGAGAGAAAAUUUCCAUCAAAUGGGUACUUUCUUCACCAGAAAUAGGGGUGGAAGACUCUCUCAACAAGACACCACAGAAGAGGUGGGUGGGUGGCAAAUUUCUUCUUUGUUUUUCUUCUGUAGUGUUCCAUAGAUGCCUCUUCCAUGACAGUUUUACUAUGUGAUAAUUAUUUGUUAAUAUGUUUGGUUUUCCUCUAGAUCCCAACCUUCCUUGAUGAAAGGAUGCUAGGUGCUCAAUAAAUGCUUCAUGAAGAAAUGAACCCAAUCACAUGCCAGGCUUUCAGACUCAGACUGGGAUUACACCAUUGGUUCUCCAGCUCUCUGGAGAGAGAGCUUCCUGGGUCUUCAGUUUGCAGAGAGCAGAUCAUGGGUCUUCUCAGCCUCCAAAAUUGU